AUCAAUCUCGGUGAUGAAGUUCGCCAUUAACCGCUCCCCCCUUUUAUCGGGGGCUGAUAACUUCUACUAGUUU
rnacentral:ncRNA from 2 species